CUCCAAGUUCCCUCUUCUCCUCUCAGUUGGCAACCAGCAACGUCUGAGAUGGUGAUAGCUCAUCAUCAAGUAACCUGGAUCCCUAAAUGGCUCUGGCCAACUCCCACUUAUCCUUGAGGACUCAGCUCAGACAUCACCUCGGAUAGGAAUUAUCCACAUCCAUGAAACACCACCUCUGCAAGAGGCCCUGCAUCAUUUUCUUCCAUGUGGCCAACCCACCACACCUGGCUCGUAUCAAGUGUGUGCUAAACUGAAUGGAAUUCAGGGCAAGGUAUCGGAACUAACAGGAUCUGCCUUGACUAGUGGCUGCCCAGGGAAGAUGGGCUCAAAUGAGAAACUGCAGACGAGCCUCUCUGAGUCACUGCACGCUGAUGGCCCUGGGCAGAAAGCUGCCAAAGUGGGUAAAUCCUGGAAGAGUGAAGCCCAGGUGCUGACUGGGCCAAUUUAAAGGAGCUAGCCUGGUUGGGACCCAUCCCGGUGGUUCCCCAGCCAUCAUUUUUUGUCUUCAUGCUUUUGUCCAUUCUGGUCUUUUACCACGAAGUCUUCUCCUAGACUGACCCCUGCCAUCCAAAUCCUAUAUGUUUCAAAAAGUCACUUUUCAGAGGCCACCUGUGAGGUCUGUAACAUUUGCUCUGAAUCUCUGUCAUGGAACCAUGUGAGAUGGUAGUUGAGAUGUAUAUAUAUAAUCUUCUUGACUGCGUUGGAAGCACUGGAAGCAACCCUGAAGGAUGGGAGGGGGCACCAUGUUAUACCUGCCCCUUGGCCCCUAGUACAAAGUUUUAUGUGGACAUGACAAGAGGAGGCCCACAGGAAGUGAUGAAAGAAGACAAAAGAGAGUUGUGACCGUUAAAUAGUGUGAAUCCAGAAGGUGAAGGGAGAAGAUGGCGGCAAGGUGCGGUGGAAGGGAGGGUUUUGUCAUGGAGUAGAAAUUGAUCUAGGCCCUGAAGGAUGGUUCAGAAGAUCAGAUGAAAGGUCACCAGCAUGUUCUCAGAGCUUUCUUAAUUAAAGUCAGUGCUGACAUUUCCUGGAUAGGAUAAAAGUGACUCAUGGGUGGAGCAGGCCAAUCAUGAUCAACUGUCAAUCUUGCUGGUACUUUCAGUUUAUCCCCAACAGAACUUUCUGGAGUGUGUGCACCAACCAGGGAGUGAGGAGUACAUAGUCAGCAAGGCCUUGGCUUCUCUCCUAGACCCAGUUCACACCAAGAAAGGAACAUCAAGCACAAAGCCAGGGAGGGAGUGAAAGGCAGAAAUGCUGUCAGAGUGGGCCCAGCAUCUCCUAACCCAGUUUUUCUGCUGGCUUGAAGCAGAGUUGUGAUGAGGCCAAUGCCUGACCAGUCUGGCAGUCACAUCCUAAAAUCAAAGAGGGAAUAGCCCGACAGGUGGAAUCCAUGUCUUUCCCGCAAA